ensembl:lncRNA
GGCCCUGAGCUGCGGCUGCUGGAGGACCUGGGAUGACCCCCCUGGGAAAAGCCCUCUGUCCCUGCUCCAGGCUCCCAGCAAGGCCCAGUUUCCAGGCACUGUCACCAAUGCCCAACCCAAGAAUGACAGAGGGGUGUCUGAAGCACAACCCUGAUGAGGCACAAAGCUCCAAACUGAGGACAGUCAUCCCUAUAAACCUCCCAGACCCAAUGCCUCAAGGGUAGGUCUCAGGGGGGAAGACUUCUCUUGUGCUUAUGGGCUCAGCCCAGAAGCAAUGGGGAGCCCAUGCUACAGCUCUGCUAUCUACUGGUGCAACACCAAGUCCUUCCUGCAUCUGUCUGCUGGUUGCCACAUCCUUACUAAUGUGCUCCAUUUUAAUACAUAUGCUUUUCUUUUUAGAAGCAUUGAAGUGGCUAACAACAUUUCACAUUACAUUUUUUAAUCCUCCACAAUUAAAACAAAUCUUUCCCCCCCUCUUUGCCCGGCUUUAAAAAACACGUCUUUUUGUUCAGCUCUUGCAGAAAAACAGGGAUGGAAACAACUCCUAAAAUCCCCAACCACAGGAAACAGAAUUGGUGCUUUUCCAAGUUAAGGACUCUGACAGAGUGAAACAUACAUGUUUAAUUUGAAAAACGUUGAUUCCAAAUGGAUUUUUCUUUUGAAAAAAAAAACAACAAAAAAACUUCCCCCCAGCAAGUCAAUAUUUGUAAUCAAAUGGAAAUUUCCUGUGGGAAUUAUUUAUUUUCACGAGGUCUGAUUCUUACAGGGGAAAAUUCUGCACUGGAAGGUUUAAGUUGCUGUAAACCAGCGUGAGGAAGGGGCUGGGAAAUCCCAUUCUAUGCUGCAAAGAGGCACCACUGCCCUGUGAUGGAAGUGAGCUGGUGAUAAAGCUGAAACUCCUCUUUGAUGAGGGAAAAGCAUGAGCAGAAAGGUGCACGGGAACUUUGGCCACACACACGUACAGAGCAGCCAGGUACUGCAGGAAGCAGCAGGAUGACAGAUUGCAGCUGCAGGCUGAGAGGUGCUGUGUGGGUGCUGGUAGGGUACGCUGGAAGCAAUAAUCCUCCUCCUACCAAGCUGCCCCUCCUCAUCCUGUUCUCACAUCCUGGGAUCUCCCUCCCUCAUUUGGAUGCUCCAGCCCCAGCACAGAGGAGAAAUGCAUCUGGGGGCACUCUGAGCUGCACUUUGCACUUAUUUCCUAGGAACCCAAAGGCCCUGGGGAUGGAUGCAUGGAAGUUAGCAGCACCUGCAUCCCUGCUCCCACCUCUCACUUGCCCAGGACGACCUACACCUUGGGCUUGGUGAAGAUGUAGACCAAGAACCUGGUGGCUCCGUGUAACCUCAUAUCAUUGCUGUACGUAUAUAUAUAUACAUAUAUGUAUGCCAUACAAAAACUAGAGCAAAAAUUGAUCUAUCCUUUUAAUUACUGAAUUUCAUGCAAUUCUUGAGAGCAAUACCCUCAUACCCUGCUGGAUUUGCCCUGGGGAAAUGUGGGGGUUUCUCCAGCUGUUCCCACCAUUGCUCGGUGUCAUGACCCAGGACACAACUAACACAAGACCCUGCUGAAAUGCAGAUGGUGAUGCCAGAAGGCACUGACGUG